rfam:Merops nubicus contig97334, whole genome shotgun sequence.
GUUCCUGUAGCUUAGUGCAAAGCAUGGCACUGAAGAUGCCAAGACGGUGAGCACCUCACCCGGAAACA